GAUUGAUGGUGCUUGCACCUGAUUGACGACUGGUAUCACCAGUGAGUGGCGGACGGGUGAGUAACACGUAGGUAACCUGCCCCGGAGCGGGGGAUAACAUUUGGAAACAGAUGCUAAUACCGCAUAACAACGAAAGCCACAUGGCUUUUGUUUGAAAGAUGGCUUUGGCUAUCACUCUGGGAUGGACCUGCGGUGCAUUAGCUAGUUGGUAAGGUAACGGCUUACCAAGGCGAUGAUGCAUAGCCGAGUUGAGAGACUGAUCGGCCACAAUGGAACUGAGACACGGUCCAUACUCCUACGGGAGGCAGCAGUAGGGAAUCUUCCACAAUGGGCGCAAGCCUGAUGGAGCAACACCGCGUGAGUGAAGAAGGGUUUCGGCUCGUAAAGCUCUGUUGUUGGAGAAGAACGUGCGUGAGAGUAACUGUUCACGCAGUGACGGUAUCCAACCAGAAAGUCACGGCUAACUACGUGCCAGCAGCCGCGGUAAUACGUAGGUGGCAAGCGCUAUCCGGAUUUAUUGGGCGUAAAGCGAGCGCAGGCGGUUGCUUAGGUCUGAUGUGAAAGCCUUCGGCUUAACCGAAGAAGUGCAUCGGAAACCGGGCGACUUGAGUGCAGAAGAGGACAGUGGAACUCCAUGUGUAGCGGUGGAAUGCGUAGAUAUAUGGAAGAACACCAGUGGCGAAGGCGGCUGUCUGGUCUGCAACUGACGCUGAGGCUCGAAAGCAUGGGUAGCGAACAGGAUUAGAUACCCUGGUAGUCCAUGCCGUAAACG
rnacentral:rRNA from 1 species